rnacentral:rRNA from 1 species
CUUAUCAACUGUCGAUGGUAGGUUAUGCGCCUACCAUGGUUGUUACGGGUAAUGAAGAAUCAGGGUUAGAUUUCG